UACGUAGGGUGCGAGCGUUGUCCGGAAUUAUUGGGCGUAAAGAGCUCGUAGGCGGUCUGUCGCGUCGAUCGUGAAAACUUGGGGCUUAACCCUGAGCUUGCGGUCGAUACGGGCAUGACUGGAGUUCGGCAGGGGAGGACUGGAAUUCCUGGUGUAGCGGUGAAAUGCGCAGAUAUCAGGAGGAACACCGGUGGCGAAGGCGGGUCUCUGGGCCGAUACUGACGCUGAGGCGCGAAAGCGUGGGGAGCAAACAGG
rnacentral:rRNA from 1 species